rnacentral:rRNA from 1 species
UACGAAGGGGGCUAGCGUUACUCGGAUUGACUGGGCUUAAAGGGUGCGUAGGCGGCGCGGAAAGUUGGGUGUGAAAUCCCUCGGCUUAACCGAGGAACUGCGCCCAAAACUACCGUGCUUGAGGGAGAUAGAGGUGAGCGGAACUUAGGGUGGAGCGGUGAAAUGCGUUGAUAUCCUAAGGAACACCGGUGGCGAAAGCGGCUACACUGGAUCUCUUCGUGACGCUGAGGCACGAAAGCUAGGGUAGCGAACGGGA